GGAACUUGGCCUGAUUUGAAGAAAAAAUGGAUGGUAAGUGAAGGCACGGCAUAGGCAUAGGGCACCAGCGUCAUUUUUCUUCAAUAAAAACAAUAAAACCGGAAAAAACAAAAAAAUUUCCUGGUUUGGUGGGUGGUGCGAAAUCGAACGCUUUGUCCUUCUCUCUCUCAUUCUCUCCCAUUGCGUUGCCUCCUCGAUUUUGUUCCUGCAAAUCCCUGCCUGGAUCUGUAAGUUAUUUUCCGUUUUCUUAUUAUUAAACUUAUUUGUAUCUUGUCAUAGAGAUCGAAUGCAUUCAAUUCCACCCAAUUUUGCUCUCUUGUGACAUUUUCAUCUUAAGUUAUGCUUCUGCAACUUCUGAGCCAUCUCCAAAACCCUAGAUCUUGCUUUUUCGCCUUUUUAUGGCUUUGAUUUAGGUUCUUGAUUUUUGGAUCUCGAGGUUUUGGUUACAUUAAAGCUCAAAUUUUGAGGAGUUGGACGAGCGGAGCUGUAAAUUGGGAACACAAUUGGAGGGUAUAUAGGUUUUAUUUUUGUAGAUCGUUAGGGCAAAGAGUGUUAUUUUAGAUGGCUUCCAAUCCUCCAUGUCAUGUGAUGGAGGAUCAGACGGAUGAGGAUUUCUUUGAUAAAUUAGUUGACGAUGAUUUUGGACCCACCAAUUCUGAUUCGGUCCCUAAGUUCACGGAGGGAAGCGAUUCCGAUGAGGCCAAAGCGUUUGCCAAGCUGAGUAUUGAGGAUGCAAGCGGUGAAGGUGGAGCUGAGGUGAAAGGCGAGAAUGAUUCUGUGCAUGCCAGUGCAAGAUUAUCCGGUUUACAUGUAGAAGAAAGUAAUACAUUGGAUUCAUCCAACUCAUUGGGGUCGAAUACUAUAGUUGAGUCAAAUAAUGAUGGGAUUGAAUCAGAAGUUGUACCAGAUCCAGUAUUAACUAAAACUAUCGAAUCAUCAAACUCAGGGGUUAAGGAGGUGGGAUGGAG
rnacentral:misc_RNA from 1 species